rnacentral:rRNA from 1 species
UACCAGCACCCCGAGUGGUCGGGACGUUUUAUUGGGCCUAAAGCAUCCGUAGCCGGUUCUACAAGUCUUCCGUUAAAUCCACCUGCUUAACAGAUGGGCUGCGGAAGGUACUAUAGAGCUAGGAGGCGGGAGAGGCAAGCGGUACUCGAUGGGUAGGGGUAAAAUCCGUUGAUCCAUUGAAGACCACCAGUGGCGAAGGCGGCUUGCCAGAACGCGCUCGACGGUGAGGGAUGAAAGCUGGGGGGAGCAAACCGG